rnacentral:rRNA from 1 species
AAGGUUAACCGUAUAGGGGAGCCGGAGGGAAACCGAGUCUUAAUUGGGCGUUAAGUUGCAGGGUAUAGACCCGAAACCCGGUGAUCUAGCCAUGGGCAGGUUGAAGGUUGGGUAACACUAACUGGAGGACCGAACCGACUAAUGUUGAAAAAUUAGCGGAUGACCUGUGGCUGGGGGUGAAAGGCCAAUCAAACCGGGAGAUAGCUGGUUCUCCCCGAAAGCUAUUUAGGUAGCGCCUCGUGAAUUCAUCUCCGGGGGUAGAGCACUGUUUCGGCUAGGGGGCCAUCCCGGCUUACCAACCCGAUGCAAACUGCGAAUACCGGAGAAUGUUAUCACGGGAGACACACGGCGGGUGCUAACGUCCGUCGUGAAGAGGGAAACAACCCAGACCGCCAGCUAAGGUCCCAAAGUCAUGGUUAAGUGGGAAACGAUGUGGGAAGGCCCAGACAGCCAGGAUGUUGGCUUAGAAGCAGCCAUCAUUUAAAGAAAGCGUAAUAGCUCACUGGUCGAGUCGGCCUGCGCGGAAGAUGUAACGGGGCUAAACCAUGCACCGAAGCUGCGGCAGCGNNNNNNNNNNNNNNNNNNUGCUGGAGGUAUCAGAAGUGCGAAUGCUGACAUAAGUAACGAUAAAGCGGGUGAAAAGCCCGCUCGCCGGAAGACCAAGGGUUCCUGUCCAACGUUAAUCGGGGCAGGGUGAGUCGACCCCUAAGGCGAGGCCGAAAGGCGUAGUCGAUGGGAAACGGGUUAAUAUUCCCGUACUUGGUGUUACUGCGAAGGGGGGACGGAGAAGGCUAUGUUGGCCGGGCGACGGUUGUCCCGGUUUAAGCGUGUAGGUGUGUGUUCCAGGUAAAUCCGGUUCACUUUAACACUGAGGCGUGACGACGAGGCACUACGGUGCUGAAGCAACAAAUGCCCUGCUUCCAGGAAAAGCCUCUAAGCAUCAGGUAACAUCAAAUCGUACCCCAAACCGACACAGGUGGUCAGGUAGAGAAUACCAAGGCGCUUGAGAGAACUCGGGUGAAGGAACUAGGCAAAAUGGUGCCGUAACUUCGGGAGAAGGCACGCUGACACGUAGGUGAAGUGAUUUACUCACGGAGCUGAAGUCAGUCGAAGAUACCAGCUGGCUGCAACUGUUUAUUAAAAACACAGCACUGUGCAAACACGAAAGUGGACGUAUACGGUGUGACGCCUGCCCGGUGCCGGAAGGUUAAUUGAUGGGGUCAGCGCAAGCGAAGCUCCUGAUCGAAGCCCCGGUAAACGGCGGCCGUAACUAUAACGGUCCUAAGGUAGCGAAAUUCCUUGUCGGGUAAGUUCCGACCUGCACGAAUGGCGUAAUGAUGGCCAGGCUGUCUCCACCCGAGACUCAGUGAAAUUGAACUCGCUGUGAAGAUGCAGUGUACCCGCGGCAAGACGGAAAGACCCCGUGAACCUUUACUAUAGCUUGACACUGAACAUUGAGCCUUGAUGUGUAGGAUAGGUGGGAGGCUUUGAAGUGUGGACGCCAGUCUGCAUGGAGCCGACCUUGAAAUACCACCCUUUAAUGUUUGAUGUUCUAACGUGGACCCGUAAUCCGGGUUGCGGACAGUGUCUGGUGGGUAGUUUGACUGGGGCGGUCUCCUCCUAAAGAGUAACGGAGGAGCACGAAGGUUGGCUAAUCCUGGUCGGACAUCAGGAGGUUAGUGCAAUGGCAUAAGCCAGCUUGACUGCGAGCGUGACGGCGCGAGCAGGUGCGAAAGCAGGUCAUAGUGAUCCGGUGGUUCUGAAUGGAAGGGCCAUCGCUCAACGGAUAAAAGGUACUCCGGGGAUAACAGGCUGAUACCGCCCAAGAGUUCAUAUCGACGGCGGUGUUUGGCACCUCGAUGUCGGCUCAUCACAUCCUGGGGCUGAAGUAGGUCCCAAGGGUAUGGCUGUUCGCCAUUUAAAGUGGUACGCGAGCUGGGUUUAGAACGUCGUGAGACAGUUCGGUCCCUAUCUGCCGUGGGCGCUGGAGAACUGAGGGGGGCUGCUCCUAGUACGAGAGGACCGGAGUGGACGCAUCACUGGUGUUCGGGUUGUCAUGCCAAUGGCACUGCCCGGUAGCUAAAUGCGGAAGAGAUAAGUGCUGAAAGCAUCUAAGCACGAAACUUGCCCCGAGAUGAGUUCUCCCUGAGACUUAGAGUCUCCUGAAGGAACGUUGAAGACGACGACGUUGAUAGGCCGGGUGUGUAAGCGCAGCGAUGCGUUGAGCUAACCGGUACUAAUGAACCGUGAG